AGGUACCAUGAUGUUUAUAUUGAUAUUACUUUGCAUAUCCCUGAUGACUUCUUCCAAGACAAGAUUGAGUGGCAGUAGCCACAAUGGAUAUCUUUGUCUGUCUAAUUUCUCAUCUUGGGGAAAGUACUGAAGUUUUCAAGACAAACUUAUGAUGUUAUUUCUCGGCGGACACAACAUCUUUCUUGGUAUGUGGUGCUGAGGAUCGAACCCAGGCCGCACGCAUGCCAGGCGAGCGCACUACUGCUUGAGCCACAUCCCCAGCCCUGAAAUCAUCUUGACUUGGGCACAGAACUGAAUCCUAAUGACAACCACAUCAUCUUGGAAGGGGAUUUUUUCCCAGCAGAGCCUUCAAUUCAGACCUCAGCCUUGGCCAUGUUCUACAUCUGCGUUCCAGACUAGAGAAAUUCGACCAAUCAAGGAGUAAGCUGUGGAGCAAGCUCCGGGACUCCAACACAUGGCCUCAUGCCAAGGGCUGUGCUUAUGGGGCAAGAACUAUAAGCUUUGGCUAGAGUCCUGGAUUGCCACCUUCUCAUUUUUUUCUGUACGUGAAUAGAUGCUAUGUGUUCUGGUUUGUGAAGAUGGUAUUCCUCAACACAGGCUGAACAUGGAUUUCCUCACCUGAAACAACCCAAGAAGCAAAAGCAAGAAGAGGAUAGAGACAAUUCAUGGAUCCACCUGCUGAGCUGAACAGUUUUCCUCUGGUGGGUCCUUCCCCCAUGAUGUGCUUCCUCACCUUGGGCGCAGAACAAUGGUGUUGGCCAUCUCUGAACCAUUCCAUCAUGAAUUCUUUUGAACCAUGCAUUCUUUGGACAUGCCAUGGAUUGCAGUACCCAUCACAGAUACCAGAAGCAACAGAAUAUGAAUCAUGAUGUUUUCAGGAACAGGCAUUUUGGCCAUUUUGACUCCCAUCUACCAUGAGGACUUCACCAGGGCCCUGUCACAUGGAACUACCUGAUCAUGGACUUUCAGCUUCCAAAACUGUCAAAAGGUUUGAGUGUCUGACAUAAUUUUGGUGACUCCCCUGGAGAGCAUUGGGCAGAACCUCCUAGGCUCAGGACUUCCCACAUGACCUGCCAGGAACAGCUAGGCCACCUGGAUCUUCUUUUCUAAUAGUCAAGGCAAGGGGUAAGUUUCUCUAGCCCAUUUUUCCCCAUUUUCUGCAAAAAUACUUCCUCACCCCUCCUUUGUCCUGCAGGUAGGGCUCCCUUUCCUUUACCCAUUAUGUUGCUUCUGUUUUUCUCCUUUUCUUUCUCAUAUUUUCUCUCUCCCCUUCUUUCUCAUUCUCCUAUUUUUCAGUCCCCAUUCUAGUUAGGGACCAAGAUAUGAAGAGGCCUCUAUGGUAAUAAAAUGGGCUGGAUCACUCUGAUAGCUACAAAUCAGGAAAUGGGAGUGUUCCUCCUGAAGUAAUUGCUAGGCCCUGUCCUCUGGUACAUGGAGAGAUGUGAUGUUUGAGUCUUCUACACUUCUUUCUUUUUAUUUUUCUGGAGAGAAGUCAUUUGUUCUUCCUUAUAUUAAAAAAAAAACUGUGGCACUGAAAGUACUAGGACCCCACCAUCAGAAGAUCUAGAUGAUUCAGCUUGUCCAAGGUCAAAUUCAGUCAUCUGAUCCUACUCCUACCCCUCUGAUACUUUCCCUGACAUUGCUACCUCCUGAAUGGUAACACUGACAGUCUCCCCACCACUCUGCUUUGAGAGGCUAGCUCUGAACCCCUCAGAUGAGGCUUCCUUCUAGGACAAAAUUAGAACCAGCUGAUCUUUUUUUUCCUUCCUCAGAGAAUUACCUAAUGGAGAAGGAAGUUUCACUAGUGUGUAUGCCCUCUUUCCUUCACUAGAGUGUGUGUCCCUCUUUUCAUAACAGAUUUAGGAAUAGGCGAGAAAAGGUUCAAGGAUGAAAUUUUAAAGCUAAACUUUCUUUUCCCAUUACCUGCCAAGAUGUGAUGAGAGUACUGGCUAGUUACUGCACUGGAGAAAGUUAGAAUGAUUGCUAAUGCAAGGAAAGCUACAGAUGGAUUUGUGAUCACCUAGCUGCACAGCAGUGUUAAUGAGUUAGGGAGUGAUUCCAUUCCAACAGGAACUCAAAAUAGGGUUACAGCCAGGGGUUUCACUGUAGGGAGUAAAUGGGACACUUCCCUGCUUAGCUAGGUUGUGAAAAGAUAUGCAAUUAAACCUGCAAAUCACAACAAAGUCUAGCUGUGUUUCUAAACAGAAACAGGCAGAUAGAAACUUAUAUAAAAUUACUAAUAUAGAUACUACCUCAGCAGAGGGAAUAGACUCUGAUAGCCAUGAAUUUUUUUUUUACCCAAUCAGCUCUGGACACAGGGAAAACAAAAAUUAGAACAAGAACAUUAACUCCUGUUGCUGCUUUGGUUAAAGAGGCCUUUAAGGUACUUAAUAGAGACAGGGCAGAGGAAGCAAACUAGGAUAGAUGAUUGGCACAAGCAAAAAAGAAAAAGGAAGCUUUCUUCCCUAAUAUGUCUGCCCUUUCAUUAAGGUGACCUUAGGAAAGAGCCCUCCCAGAGGUUUCGAAAUCACCAACAGCCCCAGGGUCCAAUCAGUGUGUUUAAGGCUAUAAUAGCAACCUGGGGCAAUGAAUGCCCUAAUUGUCAAUGAACAGGGCAACAAAGUUGCAACCCACAUCAGAGGCCUCUCUUGAUACCAUUGAAAGAUGACUCUGCCAGGAACUCUGAUCUCAUGGGAGAAACCCUGGGUCACCCUAGAUGUGCAGGUAGGAAAGCUUGUAUAUACUGCAGCUGCCUGUUCUGCCCUGAUCCAACAUAUUGGGCCUUAUCAUACCAGGAGUCUUUGGUUUCAGAAGUACAUGGUAGUGCUUAGAUGAGAUACUUAUCUUUCCCUUCUACUUAAACUAUUGGCUCUCAAACUAUCUGCCAUUUCUUUAUUCCCCAGAAUGUCCUAUCCCUCUGUCAAGAAGGGACAAAACUGCAAGCAAAUGUAUCACUGAAGCCAGACUCACAGGCAUUUAUUUCCUAGGCUAUAAGCAAAAUCCUUAUAAGAGUCCUGAAUGGGAAAGGUGGGUUUACUUUUAGUGGUUCUAAACCCCAAACUAGGAUUUAUCUCAAGACUGGUAACUGUAAGAGUAAAAGAAAUUGAAGUUAAAGUGUAAAAGACUGGGCAUUGUAAGGUUUCUAAGCUGCAAAGCCCUAGUUAAAAAGUAAAGGACUAAAUAUUGUAAAGUUUCUGAACUGC